rnacentral:rRNA from 1 species
CGUAACUAUAACGGUCCUAAGGUAGCGAAAUUCCUUGUCGGGUAAGUUCCGACCCGCACGAAAGGCGUAACGAUUUGGGCACUGUCUCAACAACAGACUCGGUGAAAUUGUAAUGCCGGUGAAGAUGCCGGAUACCUGCGACAGGACGGAAAGACCCCAUGGAGCUUUACUGUAGCUUGACAUUGGGUCUUGGUACUACAUGUACAGGAUAGGUGGGAGGCU